UGUUUUAUUCAGAAAAAAACAUUGUGUGUAUUUUUGAUCAUAACUCCUGUUUUAUCUGGCAUCAUGAUGGCAACAUGAUUUAAAAACUGGUAUAUAGUUUGAAAUAUGGGCUUUUGACACAAGUUGAAGCCAAGACUCUGUGUCGCUGCAUCUUGCUGCUGUGCCGUCUUAAAUAGGUCAUGUGAUUUUCACGCGCCGGCACAUCUGCCGACCUCAGAGGGUUAAGUAUAAAGUAGAUGAUUAGCAAAUUUGUUGAAAAUGUGUCAAUCAGCCCCACCUGGCUCUAUCCCUAAAAAUGAAUUCACUGAUAUCUUCUGGAAUAAGAAAUAAUGUCCUCUUACUUCCUAUCAUUGUUUUUUCAGACUUAAUGUCUGUAACCUCUCAGAGAGAAGCUGUGAAGCUCUGUCCUCAGUUCUCAGUUCCCAGUCAUCUAGUCUAAGAGAGCUGGACCUGAGUAACAACAACCUACAAGAUUCAGGAGUGAAGAUUCUGUCCAUCGGGGUGAAGAGUCCACACUGUAAACUAGAAAGUCUCAGGUCAGAUCAAUAUAUAUGGAAUAUAUAUGAUAUGGAAUUGCUUUUUCUGUUCAUAUACAGGUGAAACUCAAAAAAUUAAAUAUCGUGCAAAAGUUCGUUUAUUUCAGCAAUUCAACUUAAAAGGUGAAACAAAUGUAAGAUAUAGACUGAUGUAAUAUGCAAAUUUUCCAAGAUUUUGAAUUUGAGGUUUUCAUAAGCUGUAAGCCAUAAUCAGAAAAAUUCUAAGUAACAAAAUCUUUAAAUAUUUCGCUUUGCCUUUGAUGAGUUUAUGUCAUCUAUUAGUUUCAUCUUUUAAGUUGAAUUACUGAAAUAAAUAAACUUUUGCAUAAUAUUCUAAUUUAUUGAGUUUCACCUGUAUGUGUUGUUAUAUUUUUUUUGUUUCGAACUUGGCUGGUAUCCUUAUAUUGAAUAAUCAAGUGAGGAGUGAAGCCAGAAAAAAAAUUCAUGUUACCAACUCUAGUAACUCCUCUAUGUAUCAUGAAGACACUUUAACAACCAGCGUUGUUUGUCUCUGUGGUUUUUCAGACUUAAUGUCUGUAACCUCUCAGAGAGAAGCUGUGAGGCUCUGUCCUCAGUUCUCACCUCCCAGUCAUCUAGUCUGAAAGAGCUGGACCUGAGUAACAACAACUUACAAGAUUCAGGAGUGAAGAUUCUGUCUGUUGGGGUCAAGAGUCCACACUGUAGACUAGAAAUUCUCAGACUAAGUGGCUGUAAACUCUCAGAAAGAAGCUGUGAAGAUGUGUCCUCAGUUCUCAGCUCCCAGUUCUGUAGUCUGACAGAGCUGGACCUGAGUAACAACAACCUCAAUGAUUCAGGAGUGAAAAUGCUGAAGAGUCCAAACUCUACAAUUAUCAGGGUGGAGCCUGCUGGAGUCCGAUGGUUGAGACC